CUUGGCGGCGAGGCGGCGCGUGCGCGGUGGCUGCAAAAGGGCAACUGCUGAGCGCUGGUGUUCUUGGUCCCCCCUCCGCUGGAACGACCGCGGGCCCUGGAUGGCCUGCAGAACCAGGAAGUUAAGAUUCGGAGUUCACGGUGAAUUGUCUUAUUCACCUGGGAAUGAGUCUACGGGACUAAAACAAACCGCCUCGAGCUAGGCUCUAACCAGAGACCUCAAAACUAGAAACUGCAACAGAAAGCGAACCACUGGCCCGGACGCAUCCACGCGCUGGAUUCCGCUCCCUGGUCACUUGCUGUGAUGUGUGUGCAGAGGGUCAAGUAGUUGUGAACAGAGGUUAGGGCAUUCAGAUUGUGCCAGCUGAGAAAGUGAGAAAUGCUGAAGAAAGCAGCCCUUCUGGAGUUCCCUGGCGGCCUAGCGGUUAAGGAUUUCGCAUUGUCAUUGCUGUGGCUCGGGUUGGAUGCCUGGCUGGGGAACUUUCCCAUGCUCAGCAGGGCCAAAAGAAAAGGAAAAUAGACUUUCUCCAGCGCCUCUUCCUUCUCCCCACUCCCAUCGCUGUAUCUCCCACCUUACCCUCUGCUGGUUCCUGCACCCUCAGCCGGUAAACAAGACCAAGUCUCUCGCAACAAGAAUCACCUGAGACCCGGCAAUUCCACUCCCAAGUAUUAUUCAAGGGAAUUGGAAACAUAUCUGCGCAAAGACUUGUACACAGAUGUCAUUGCGUAUCCAUAAUGGCCAAAGAGUGGAAACAAUUGAAUGUCCAUCAUUUGAUGAAUGGAUAGAGCAGUUACGGUUUAGCCAUACUCUGGCGUUUCAUUGGGCGGUGAAAAAGAAUGAAAUAGUGAUCCAUGCUCUAAUAUGGGCAAACCUGACAAAACUGUUUGAAGGCAUCCUGUCACCCGAAGAGACUCUGAGGAUCAUGACCCAGCCCUGUCUGCCCCUCCCGCAUCUCCUCGCCCCACUCCCUGCCUGGCGCAUCCGAAUUACUUGGAGUUUCAUGGAAACUGGCUGAGAGAGGUCACGUGCCUUCGCGAGUCUUCUCCGAGUAGACUAGCCUUUCCUCUCUUCCCCUAGGCGGACAUGAAACCCGGUCAAGGCAAUGAGAUUUGAGAAGACAUUUCCAGGGCUUCUGACAAAAAGAUUCCUCUCUGCUAUAUAGCUUCUAUCAAUGAUGUAAGGUCUAGAAUUAAUGCAGCCACAUGUGACAACAAGGAUAGAGACUAAUUACCAGACAGUGAAGGAAUCCUGAGAAAGGCAGAAUGGGAAACUGGAAAAGGAACAGAACCUCAGUUACAUUGUUGAGCAGUGAGCAGCUAGAUCAAGACACACCUGAAGCUCUUCCUCCAUACUUGCCAGUUAUAUGAGCCUCUUGGAUAAAUAAUAAUUGAAUUGAAUAAAUUCCCUUCAUUGUUGGAGCUUAGUUUUCUGUCUAUAACUCAAAUUGUCCUAACAAUACCACUUAGCAAUCUCUGUGGGCCUCCAUUUUCUCAUAAAUGAAAUAAAGGUAAAAAUUCUGCCA
rnacentral:lncRNA from 1 species